CUGAUCUCAGCACAGGCCGUGGUAGAACCUUGAGGGAGGAUGGUCCUUUGCACUUAGUGAUAAGCUCAUCUGAGGUUGCUUUUCAAAGGGGUUCUAUUGGUGCUUGGUUUUCCCAGAUCCAUCACCUCAUAGACCAAAUGCCACAGGAGCAUUUGACCUAGUUUGCCGGGACUUUCCUGGUUUUAGCACUGACAGUCUCUUGUCCUAGGAAACCCCCCAGUCCCAGGCAAUCUGGGAUGUUUGGUCACCUUAGUCAGCAUGGGUUGAAAUGUUCACCACUUGUGACCCAGAACUUUUUCUCUCACAAGGGAGAUCCACAGCUCAGCAGCCAGAUGCCUGAUUGCCUCCCGGGGUCUCUGAACACCUCUUUUUGUGGAUGUUUGAUUGCUGGGAGGGGGAACACUUUAAGGAUCAAUGGACAAAGGUGAUCAAGAUCUGGCAACCCUACCUGGAGGGCAAAGUCACUCUCGGUUGAGAAGCACUACAUCAGAACAAGGCUGGAAAUGGUUAUGAAAGCCAUAGAUAAAAACAAAACCAAGCACAGCUUAAUACCACCUCACUAGAGACAUAUUUUAGAUACAUGCUUUAAAGAAAGACACAUUUUCCAUUUAUACUUGAAAGAAACAACCAGAGAAAAAUUAUAUGAAUUCUAGGGACUCAGAAAUGUAACUGGAGCUCAUGAAACAAUAUAUAGAUUCUAUAAAAGCAAGGAUCUUU
rnacentral:lncRNA from 1 species